UAGGAAACUUGCUUGCCAUAUUUGCCAC
rnacentral:piRNA from 1 species